CCGUGAUGAGGACAGGUGUCCGGGGACGCAUGGCCAUUUGCAUGUAAACACGUGGGUGUCGAUUCCUGGCGUGAAACAGCCGGAUGUCAAUUACCGACGCUUUAUCAAUACGUAAGCGAUGAUAGAUCAAUAAAAUCAAUUACGGCUGAGAGACGGGUAACUCUGUGUGUACAGAUCUGUCUCGAAGGGUCGAUUUUAAACGGCAUAAUUGAGAACUAAAGCAGAAGAAUUCAUGUCAGCUGAGAGCCAAC
rnacentral:misc_RNA from 1 species